rnacentral:rRNA from 1 species
AUUGAACGCUGGCGGCAGGCCUAACACAUGCAAGUCGAGCGGUAGCACAGAGAGCUUGCUCUCGGGUGACGAGCGGCGGACGGGUGAGUAAUGUCUGGGAAACUGCCUGAUGGAGGGGGAUAACUACUGGAAACGGUAGCUAAUACCGCAUAACGUCGCAAGACCAAAGUGGGGGACCUUCGGGCCUCAUGCCAUCAGAUGUGCCCAGAUGGGAUUAGCUAGUAGGUGGGGUAAUGGCUCACCUAGGCGACGAUCCCUAGCUGGUCUGAGAGGAUGACCAGCCACACUGGAACUGAGACACGGUCCAGACUCCUACGGGAGGCAGCAGUGGGGAAUAUUGCACAAUGGGCGCAAGCCUGAUGCAGCCAUGCCGCGUGUAUGAAGAAGGCCUUCGGGUUGUAAAGUACUUUCAGCGAGGAGGAAGGCGUUAAGGUUAAUAACCUUGGCGAUUGACGUUACUCGCAGAAGAAGCACCGGCUAACUCCGUGCCAGCAGCCGCGGUAAUACGGAGGGCGCAAGCGUUAAUCGGAAUUACUGGGCGUAAAGCGCACGCAGGCGGUCUGUCAAGUCGGAUGUGAAAUCCCCGGGCUCAACCUGGGAACUGCAUUCGAAACUGGCAGGCUAGAGUCUUGUAGAGGGGGGUAGAAUUCCAGGUGUAGCGGUGAAAUGCGUAGAGAUCUGGAGGAAUACCGGUGGCGAAGGCGGCCCCCUGGACAAAGACUGACGCUCAGGUGCGAAAGCGUGGGGAGCAAACAGGAUUAGAUACCCUGGUAGUCCACGCCGUAAACGAUGUCGACUUGGAGGUUGUGCCCUUGAGGCGUGGCUUCCGGAGCUAACGCGUUAAGUCGACCGCCUGGGGAGUACGGCCGCAAGGUUAAAACUCAAAUGAAUUGACGGGGGCCCGCACAAGCGGUGGAGCAUGUGGUUUAAUUCGAUGCAACGCGAAGAACCUUACCUACUCUUGACAUCCAGAGAACUUAGCAGAGAUGCUUUGGUGCCUUCGGGAACUCUGAGACAGGUGCUGCAUGGCUGUCGUCAGCUCGUGUUGUGAAAUGUUGGGUUAAGUCCCGCAACGAGCGCAACCCUUAUCCUUUGUUGCCAGCGGUCCGGCCGGGAACUCAAAGGAGACUGCCAGUGAUAAACUGGAGGAAGGUGGGGAUGACGUCAAGUCAUCAUGGCCCUUACGAGUAGGGCUACACACGUGCUACAAUGGCAUAUACAAAGAGAAGCGACCUCGCGAGAGCAAGCGGACCUCAUAAAGUAUGUCGUAGUCCGGAUUGGAGUCUGCAACUCGACUCCAUGAAGUCGGAAUCGCUAGUAAUCGUAGAUCAGAAUGCUACGGUGAAUACGUUCCCGGGCCU